rnacentral:rRNA from 1 species
UAGGGAAUCUUCCGCAAUGGGCGAAAGCCUGACGGAGCAACGCCGCGUGAGUGAUGAAGGUCUUCGGAUCGUAACACUCUGUUAUUAGGGAAGAACAAAUGUGUAAGUAACUAUGCACGUCUUGACGGUACCUAAUCAGAAAGCCACGGCUAACUACGUGCCAGCAGCCGCGGUAAUACGUAGGUGGCAAGCGUUAUCCGGAAUUAUUGGGCGUAAAGCGCGCGUAGGCGGUUUUUUAAGUCUGAUGUGAAAGCCCACGGCUCAACCGUGGAGGGUCAUUGGAAACUGGAAAACUUGAGUGCAGAAGAGGAAAGUGGAAUUCCAUGUGUAGCGGUGAAAUGCGCAGAGAUAUGGGGGAACACCAGUGGCGAAGGCGACUUUCUGGUCUGUAACUGACGCUGAUGUGCGAAAGCGUGGGGAUCAAACAGG